GAGCUCCGCGGCCUCUUGCUCCGGAUCGGCCGAGGGCGGCGGAGCCCAGGGCGCCGGCGGGAGCCCCGUGCCCGGAGCCAGGCCGGCCAUGAGGGCACUUCCCCGGCGUGCGCCGGCAGGCCCGAGCCUCUGCCGGAGCCAGGCGGGCACUGUGAAGGCAGAAGUGGGGGGCUGAGCCUUGGGGAGACCUGAAGUUCAGGCUGCAGCAAAGAGGUGUGUGAUGUGGGCAUUUGUUUGGUUUGCUCCACCAUGCCUGAAUCUCUAGCAAAUAAUGGGCACUGUGAAGGCAGAAGUGGGGGGCUGAGCCUUGGGGAGACCUGAAGUUCAGGCUGCAGCAAAGAGGUGUGUGAUGUGGGCAUUUGUUUGGUUUGCUCCACCAUGCCUGAAUCUCUAGCAAAUAAUGGGCACUGUGAAGGCAGAAGUGGGGGGCUGAGCCUUGGGGAGACCUGAAGUUCAGGCUGCAGCUGACAAUGAAGAGGUGUGGGUGAGGACAUUGUCUGGUUUGCUCCACCAUGUGUGCCCCUUUGUCAGGGGAGAAUGGUUGAGAUUUGUAAAAAGUUGUCCCGGGCCCUGCUGGAGUUUCAGUGUUCUGCUCAAGAUGGAUGGUUCUGCUGCUGCCUGGGAUCCUCCUUCCAGCCCCAGCAUUCCCAUGCCCUGCAAUAGCUCUGACCUCAGAGCUGUCAGGAGUGAUGAAUUUGUGUCCUGCCAGCUUAGAUGGAGGCUGUUGCAUUUUCUGUGCCCAGGGUACAGGGCAUGUAACUGGAAUGGAUUCUGGAACUGGCUGCAUGUUCAGUGCAGUUGGAUGCUGUUUUCUCCAGGGGCUGCAUUCCCUGCCUGGCAGCUCAAAAAAAAAAAGGCAAGGAGGCCUCUCCUGGAGCAGCUGUCAGUACGGGAGGUGGCCUUGUGGGCAAGGAAGGGUCAGGCUGUGGUUCUCCCCUGCUGCCCAGAAAGCUGCAGUGCUGUAUCCCUGGCAAGGGCACAGUGUGUUUCUGUGCUGUUGGAAGCCUGGUUUUAAUAAAAUCUGCAUGAUGAGUGAGUUUGGCUGGACUCAGGUUAAUUCUCAAUACUUGUGUUUCCAGCCAGAAACCACAAACUUUCAUUGCUGUGACGCAUCAGCCUCAGCUUGUGCCUGGAUGGUUGAAAAUGAUACUCCGGGGCAAAGUUACCUCUAAAUGCUCUUGCUUGCUGAAUAAUAAUGAUGUUGCAUCUCUUAGGAGCCCAGUUUCCUUACAAAAAGUAGGAAGGAAGCUUAAUUGAUGUAAAUCUGGAGAAAGUGGAGUUGGGUGACCUUUCCUCUGCUGUCACCAAGGGCAGUCUGGUCUGCUCCACGCUUCUCAGCAGGAACAUCUCAGUUCCCACAGCCAGUCCCUGGUUAAAGUACCACAAACAGGAAAUACGAAAACGUGACAACAUCAGACAAACCCCACGACCCUUCACAGAUGCACUUCCAGGAGGAAUGUUGCAGGUGUUCAUCAGAAAAAAAGAAAAUAACAACAACAAAAAGGAAGGAACGAAACGC